GGAUAAAAAGUAGCCUAUGGGUCUAAUUCUUACACAAUCUCUAAACUAAACUAUAAUGACAGGUCUAAAUGUAUUGCUAUCCCUUUCAUAACGCUCCCUGCGGAAAACGAUGGCACUAGAUUUAAGACUUGACAAUUUAGUUAAGAGAUUGUGUACAACAAAAUUCGCCACAUUAG